rnacentral:rRNA from 1 species
UACGUAGGGGGCAAGCGUUGUCCGGAAUUAUUGGGCGUAAAGAGCGUGUAGGCGGUCCGGUAAGUCGGCUGUGAAAGUCCAGGGCUCAACCCUGGGAUGCCGGUCGAUACUGCCGGACUAGAGUUCGGAAGAGGCGAGUGGAAUUCCCGGUGUAGCGGUGAAAUGCGCAGAUAUCGGGAGGAACACCUAUGGCGAAGGCAGCUCGCUGGGACGUUACUGACGCUGAGACGCGAAAGCGUGGUGAGCGAACAGG